AAACUAACAAGGAUUCCCCUAGUAACGGCGAGUGAAGUGGGAAGAGCUCAACUUUGUAAUCUGGCUGUUUCACAGUCCGAGUUGUAGUCUAAAGAAGCAUGAUCCGCGCCGGCCCUUGGGCAUGUCUGUUGGAACGCAGUGUCAAAGAGGGUGAUAAUCCCGUACAUACCAAGGACGACCGUGUGCAUUGUGGUCUGCUCUCUAAGAGUCGAGUUGUUUGGGAAUGCAGCUCUAAUUGGGUGGUAAAUUCCAUCUAAAGCUAAAUAUCGACGAGAGACCGAUAGCGAACAAGUACAGUAAUGGAAAGAUGAAAAGUAGCCUGCAGAGGCAAUGAAACAAUACGUGAAACCGUUUGUAGGGAAGCGAUGGAACCUUUUCACGCUGCAGGGGCUCAGCCUUUCUUCGGAUUGGUGUAUUCCCCUGUUUUGCGGACCAGCAUCAGUUUGCUUGGCAGUAUAAGGGUGUUUGGAACGUGGCUCCCACGGGAGUGUUAUAGCCUUUCACUGGAUGCUGCCUCGCAGACUGAGGACUGCAGUGCGCCUUCAUGGCAUAGUCUUCGGGCUACGAGCACUUAGGAUGCUGGGCGAAUGGGUUUCAACGAC
rnacentral:rRNA from 1 species